GAUGAAGAACGCAGCGAAAUGCGAUAAGUAAUGUGAAUUGCAGAAUUCAGUGAAUCAUCGAAUCUUUGAACGCACAUUGCGCCCGCCAGCAUUCUGGCGGGCAUGCCUGUUCGAGCGUCAUUUCAACCCUCGACUUCCCUUUGGGGAAAUCGGCGUUGGGGACCGGCUGUAUACCGCCGGCCCCGAAAUGAAGUGGCGGCCCGUCCGCGGCGACCUCUGCGUAGUAAUCCAACUCGCACCGGAACCCCGACGUGGCCACGCCGUAAAACCCCCGACUUCUGAACGUUGACCUCGGAUCAGGUAGGAAUACCCGCUGAACUUAAGCAUAUCAAUAGGCGGAGGA
rnacentral:misc_RNA from 1 species